rnacentral:misc_RNA from 1 species
CCAAUAGCGUAUAUUAAAGUUGUUGUGGUUAAAAAGCUCGUAGUUGAACCUUGGGCCUGGCUGGCCGGUCCGCCUCACCGCGUGUACUGGUCCGGCCGGGCCUUUCCCUCUGUGGAACCUCAUGCCCUUCACUGGGUGUGACGGGGAAGCAGGACUUUUACUGUGAAAAAAUUAGAGUGCUCCAAGCAGGCCUAUGCUCGAAUACAUUAGCAUGGAAUAAUAAAAUAGGACGUGCGGUUCUAUUUUGUUGGUUUCUAGGACCGCCGUAAUGAUUAAUAGGGACAGUCGGGGGCAUCAGUAUUCAAUUGUCAGAGGUGAAAUUCUUGGAUUUAUUGAAGACUAACUACUGCGAAAGCAUUUGCCAAGGAUGUUUUCAUUAAUCAGGAACGAAAGUUAGGGGAUCGAAGACGAUCAGAUACCGUCGUAGUCUUAACCAUAAACUAUGCCGACUAGGGAUCGGACGAUGUUAUUUUUUUAAUGACUCGUUUGGCACCUUACG